UUAAGUUCAGCGGGUAUUCCUACCUGAUCCGAGGUCAACCUGAAUAAGUGGGGGGUUUCACGGCGGGCGCCCGCGGCGUUCCCAAAGCGAGGAUGAUUACUACGCUCGGGCUCGCGGCGAGCACGCCACUGAUUUUCGGGGCCCGCGGCGGCCGCGGGGUCCCCAACACCAGGCGGGGCCUGAGGGUUGAAAUGACGCUC
rnacentral:misc_RNA from 1 species